GAUGAACGCUGGCGGCGUGCCUAAUACAUGCAAGUCGAGCGAAUGGAUUAAGAGCUUGCUCUUAUGAAGUUAGCGGCGGACGGGUGAGUAACAUGUGGGUAACCUGCCCAUAAGACUGGGAUAACUCCGGGAAACCGGGGCUAAUACCGGAUAACAUUUUGAACCGCAUGGUUCGAAAUUGAAAGGCGGCUUCGGCUGUCACUUAUGGAUGGACCCGCGUCGCAUUAGCUAGUUGGUGAGGUAACGGCUCACCAAGGCAACGAUGCGUAGCCGACCUGAGAGGGUGAGCGGCCAGACUGGGACUGAGACACGGCCCAGACUCCUACGGGAGGCAGCAGUAGGGAAUCUUCCGCAAUGGACGAAAGUCUGACGGAGCAACGCCGCGUGAGUGAUGAAGGCUUUCGGGUCGUAAAACUCUGUUGUUAGGGAAGAACAAGUGCUAGUUGAAUAAGCUGGCACCUUGACGGUACCUAACCAGAAAGCCACGGCUAACUACGUGCCAGCCGCCGCGGUAA
rnacentral:rRNA from 1 species